CUAAGUCAUGUUGAAGCAGCGGUUCCCGUACGAUCACCGAAGUUAAGCAAGGUCGCGCCUGGUCAAUACCUAGAUGGGUGACUGCUUGGAAAUACCAUGUGCUGUAA
rnacentral:rRNA from 1 species